rnacentral:lncRNA from 1 species
UUAUAAUCUUUGGACAUGAUAUACUUGCACUAGGUUAUUUCUUUGUACAUAUUUUAUAAUCUAAGACCUUACGUACGUGUUUUUUUUUCACAGUAUCCACGCGCGUUUUUACCAAUGGACUACAUUUUUUUUUUCCCGUUGCAACGCACGGGCAUUUGUGCUAUAUUUUCCUAUGGAGAGAUGGGAGAGCAUUGUCUCCGUGCCUGCCAAUUUUUUGUACCAAGACAUAUUUUCUUGCGUGGGCAUUGCGUUUUUCUGUUGAUAUAGAAUGGAAGGUGCUAGUAGUACUCGUCAAUGUUUGGGACUCGGUUGGAACUCAUGGCGAUGACUUUCGUAUCCUGGAGCCUUUGUGCAAAUAAGUUACAUACACUCUUUUCUUGACGUCAAUGCAAAGAUUACUCUGUGAACUAUGGUUGUAGUAGUGACAUUCUCAAGGGUAGGGUGUUGUAUCUUCCAAAUUCUGUUAUCAUUAAUUCAUUAUGUACUGACGAUUUCUGGCUUCCUGCUGCUUGAUUCAGGCUCUGCAUUUCGGAACGCUUGAUAGUUAUGGACCGCCAGAGUUUGCUGCGGAGGCAUGAUCAGGUUCUACUCCAUGGCUUAAUUUUAUUUCCUGAGGGUAUUGGACAGAUCCCAUUUUCACUCACUAAACAUGCAAACUCAUAGUUUGACCUGAUUCAAGUGGGUUUGACAUGCUAAUGUUUAAUGAACGCAUUGUCAUUGCUGUGAGAUACUGUGACAGAGAAAGACCAACGAGUACUAUCUAUUAGUCCCAGUUGUGUAAUAUCGGUGAUGUCGAGCUUGGACUUCAGAUGAGCCUUGACUUCUGUUAUUCUA